rnacentral:rRNA from 1 species
GAUGAACGCUGGCGGCGUGCCUAAUACAUGCAAGUCGAGCGAACAGACGAGGAGCUUGCUCCUCUGACGUUAGCGGCGGACGGGUGAGUAACACGUGGAUAACCUACCUAUAAGACUGGGAUAACUUCGGGAAACCGGAGCUAAUACCGGAUAAUAUAUUGAACCGCAUGGUUCAAUAGUGAAAGACGGUUUUGCUGUCACUUAUAGAUGGAUCCGCGCCGCAUUAGCUAGUUGGUAAGGUAACGGCUUACCAAGGCAACGAUGCGUAGCCGACCUGAGAGGGUGAUCGGCCACACUGGAACUGAGACACGGUCCAGACUCCUACGGGAGGAAGCAGUAGGGAAUCUUCCGCAAUGGGCGAAAGCCUGACGGAGCAACGCCGCGUGAGUGAUGAAGGUCUUCGGAUCGUAAAACUCUGUUAUUAGGGAAGAACAAAUGUGUAAGUAACGAUGCACGUCUUGACGGUACCUAAUCAGAAAGCCACGGCUAACUACGU